GAUGAACGCUGGCGGCGUGCCUAAUACAUGCAAGUCGAGCGAACGGACGAGAAUCUUGCUUCUCUGAUGUUAGCGGCGGACGGGUGAAUAACACGUGGAUAACCUACCUAUAUGACUGGGAUAACUUCGGGAAACCGUAGCUAAUACCGGAUAAUAUUUUGAUCCGCAUGGUUCGAAAGUGAAAGACGGUCUUGCUGUCACUUAUAGAUGGAUCCCGGCUGCAUUAGCUAGUUGGUGAGGUAACGGCUUACCAAGGCAACGAUGCAUAGCCGACCUGAGAGGGUGAUCGGCCACAUUGGAACUGAGACACGGACAAGACUCCUACGGGAGGCAGCAGUAGGGAAUGUGCCGCAAUGGUCGAAAGCAUGACGGAGCAACGCCGCGUGAGUGAUGAAGGUCUUCGGAGCGGAAAACUCUGUUAUGAGGGAAGAACAGAUGUGGAAGGAACUGUGGAGAUCGUGACGGUACCUAAUCAGAAAGCCACGGCUAACUACGUG
rnacentral:rRNA from 1 species